GCGAGCUUCAAAACCGCAGAACUGUGGAGGGAUAAAAGAGAGCAGAAAGACGAAGAAAAAUGGAGGAAGACUCGCUUUACUUACAACUGCACAAGCUAUCGGCGAUAAAGUCAGAGGAAGCGCUCGACCAUAUACUCACUACGCUCUGGAAAACCAGGAGAACCGGUCUCUGCUCGCCGGAAAAGUCUCACAUCCAGUCUCUCCUCAGUCUCCUUUCACUCUCCGAAGUUGAUCCUGUUUUGGCAUGCCUUCGUUCGCUUAUCAGAAAAAGUGUGCAUGAGAACUUCACUGGAGAUGAUCUCUUGAAGCUGUUUCCUCCUGAUCUUUCACUUGAUCUGCAAAGCUUUCUUGUGUUGUUGCUCCAGAAAUAUCAGAAUCAAUGGAAAGAGGAAAUGUCAAGAGAACAGCAUCCCCUACCAAGGACCAGUGUCUCCUACCAGGUGAAAGCUAGCGUGCAACCAUCUUUCUCAUCUUCUGUGAUUUCAAUGCCACUUUGGCCUCGCCAGGAUGAUCUUAAUGGACGUUUGAAUCGCAAUGAUCUCGGGUUUUCUCCAUCAAUAAUCACUGGUACCAAUGCCUCACACAUUGCACCUGUUUCUAUCCAACAAGACGCUAGCCCUUCUGAAAACAUGGGUGCUUUGCCACGCCUUAAGUCAAUGACAUGGACCAUGGAGAAUUGCAACUCUGCAGCAGCAAAUAGAGUAGCCAUCAUCAGUCUCAAGGUCUGUCAAAAUGCUGUUAUUAUGUCUUUUGCAGUAGCAGUGAUCUUAGCAAAUUAUUCUAACUUUUUAAACAAUUGUUUGGUCUCUUUUACAUUAUGCUGAUAACUACUCAAAUGCCCAUGCAUUAUGUGUAUUCUUUUAUGUUAUACUGAUUUAAUAGGUCAUAAUGCUUAUUAUUGAUCAAGAACUUCAUGCAUACUUGCGUGAUAAAAGAAGGGAAGUCAUGUGAUCAUGGAAAGUCAUUUGCAGAGGCCAAGAAGCCUACUGUUUAAGAUUUGAUGUUGAAUGAUUUAAUUAAGAAUUGCUGAAAGUAACUGAUUUUUUUUAAUUUUUCAUGCUGCAUGGAUAUGGGUGGUUAUAUAUGAUGCUAUUCAGACUUUCCAUCUUUAAGUUUCAAUGUUUUAACAGACUAUUCAUGACAUCACUCAUUUUAUAAUAGUGUUAAUUCUUAUAUCCUUUAGUUAUCUCAACUUCAUCAUAAUUCCCAGUUGUUUCUUCUUUUAUAUUGCUUUUUGUAUCCAUCAUUGCAGCUUCAAGAUUUCACCAAGUCUCCUUCAGGAGAAACGGAGGUGAAAUUUCAGCUUACUAGAGACACACUUGAAGCGAUGUUGAGAUCAAUGACCUACAUCAGUGAGCAACUUUCUAGCACGGUAUAGAUGUUCCCUCUAUCAUAUGGUCUUGAGGAAAAGUAGAGUUUUUGAAUGAUUCAUCCAGCGCUUAUGCAUCUUACAUGUCUUAUUUAAAUUAAUAAUGUCUAGUUAGACCAACCUUCUAUAGUCCUAUACUCCUAAAGUCAUGGGGCUACUACUUUCCACAUAAUACACCUGAAAAUAGUGAACUCUGGAGAAAGUCAAGUCAAAGGGCCAGACUCUCUCUUAUCUACACCCUCUUGGUUCCAAAACAAAUUGAAACUUGCAAAUUAUGGAAAAAUUCUCGUGUGUGCUUCCUGUUCAGGAUUUUCUUCUGAUGAAUUUAAUUAAUUGUAAAAAUUAUUUAAAGAGAGAGAGAGAGAGAG
rnacentral:misc_RNA from 1 species